UAAAUUAAAGAUUUCUUCGGUAAAAAGACUGUUAAAAGUGUAAAAUGUGGAUUUAUUUAAAAGUUUAUAGUUUAAUUUAAUUAAUUUGAAAUGAAAAAUUUUCCUAAAAAGUGUGCGAUGACGAGACUUUACCAUGCGUGCUUGUAACCGGUGUUCAUCUAUUUCAUUCUUUCGACGGAUCUUCUUAUUUUCUUUGUGGACUUUACCAGCCUGAACACUCAUGGACAGCGUCUAAAAUAUAAUUAUUUUAAAAUAUUAAAUAUAAUUAUAUAAUAAUCGAUUA